GAGAGAGAGAGAGAGAGAGAGAGUAAGGUUCUUUUUAGGCCCUUAGAUCUCCACCGAUGUCUCAUUGUGUUUGGAUUUGAAUCCAGUCACAUUCUGCUCAUUGAAUUCCUCCACUCUGCUCCAGAACUAUUUCCCCCCUUUUCUCUCCGUGCAGGACAGGUGAUUGUUUGUUUUAUUUAUUCGAAAUUGAGUUGAAGUCCGUAUUGCUUGGUAGAAUUGGAAAAAUCGAAUGAUCUCUCUCUGUUUUUUUUAUUGGCUAUGAUGGACCUUGCACAAUUUCAUUUGUCCUCUUCUUUACUUCCGGCUCUCAGAUCAGUAGGUUUUGUGUGUGUGUGUGGCGCGCGCGUGAUUAGAGAUGCAGGCUGAGAUUGAAGGCGUCGUUCUCUUUUAUACCUGUUUAAGUUACCACCAGUUCAAUAAUCUUUGCAAAACAAUCUAGUCGUUUGGUUAUAAAUUGAUAUGAUUUCGUCAGGGUGCUUUCUUCGUCAUCUGAGAAGCUUAAUGUAGUAAAGAUCGUGGAUUGAAAGAUAAUGUUCAUGCAGUGUUUUUGAUUUAUACUUUGGAUUCAUCUAAUUUCGUUGGCACUGUAGAGAAUUUACAGCUCUUUACAAAUUUCUGCUCUUUUUCUUUCCACCACUGCAUAGAUUUCCUCAGCUGGCCGAACCAAAGGGCAGUGAGUUGUUUCUACUGCUCCUACCGAGCAUGAUAUACAACUCGGACAUUUUAACAAUACUAGCAAUCUGGACGCAUGUAAUGCCUGUUAAAACAUAAAUUAAUAAAAUUCAAAAGCUUGGGGAAUUAGAUAGACAAAAUACAUGGAUUAGAAGGAGUUUCGUUUUUCCUUGUUUGUUUUGAAAAUCUAAAACAGAGUCCAAUGGAUUGCGGGUAUGGAUGAGAUAGGUACAGAUUUUUUUCUUCAAAUAAAUAGAUUCCAAUUAGUUUCCGAAUAUCAUGUAGACAAGAGAUAGAGAGCAAAAGGUAAAAAAAUCAAAAAAAAAAACAAUCAAAUGUAGUUGAUCAUGCUAAUUCAAUUUCCUAGGAUGGAUUGCGCUCCUCUUGAGAGGGGAGGAUAUCUACUCCUCUUAGGUCCAAAACCAAUAAUCAAUUAUUUGAAUUGAAGAUCCACAUGGUUGAUCACGAUCUAUAUCACUGAAAAUGCUUAGAAACUAAAAUUACCUGUUUAGCAGUCUCUAACCUAUGGACUGCUCUUAGUACGAGGACCUAAAAUUUGUUUCCAUAGUGAGAGCUAUAUGUACUUACAAAUUAAAUAAUUUUUACCACUUGAGUUCGAAAAUCCGACAAAUAUUGAACUUCCCUCCAAGUAUGUCACUUCAUUUAGUCAGCCUCAAUUUAAUGGAUGCAUUAUCGACUUAAACUUUGAUGUGAAUUGCUGCUAUGCCACUUCAGACAGCUUGUGGUGCGAUUCUGGAUUUGAUUACUAACCAUGAAGGAGAAAAAGACCUUUCAAAACACAGAAUGCCUAUUUGUGCAGGAAAUUUACAGUUGAUAAAAUAAUAUUCUCUUGGCGUGAGCUAUGCUCCAUUGUUUAUCCUAAGGAUAUUGCAGCAGUAUGCUCCAUUCUUUAUAUCCUAAGGAUUUUGCAGAAGCAACAUACUUACUGCAUAUGUUCUAUCUUUCUUUUUAAAUUCUAAUUCACCCAAUUGUCAUUGUCUUUGCCUCUUUUCACUUUCCCAUUAUUAGACUUGCCUUUUACUUAUUGCUAUUCAAUAUAAUGAUUUCAUUUAUGUGCAGUUAUCUUCGCAUUCAUCGAAUACAAAACUGCUUAUCACUCCUUCUAUCUUCCUGUAGGUUAGUUCGCAUAAUUUUACCUUAUGAUUGUUAUUGAAUAAUUACAUUUACAUAUCUAGGUCUUGUUGAUCAUGGUUAUGAUGCCAAACCAGGAAACUGGGAACUUUCUUGUAUAUUAUAUUUUGAAUAGUGCAUGCAAACUUUUUUGACCUAUUCAUUUAAAUUUCAACAAUUUUUGUACGUAAUUCAGAAUUUUGGUCAUAUAUAGUGCCUUGUACAUAACUUAGUGUCCAUUGAAGCGUAAGAUGACACAAGAUAUGCUUUCUUCUUUUGUUGAUGUAAUUCCUCAUUAUAAUAUUCAUCCAUGAUUUUUAUGGGUAGCUCGAGUUGAGGUCAUUUGAUUAAUUUCAUGACCUAAACACCAAUCUCUUUUACUAUGGACCAUUCAAGAGCUUAGAAGCAUUUACGAGGAAUGUGUUCCACUCAGAGGAGUGAUAAAAUGUAUGUUUGUUUACAGUUC
rnacentral:lncRNA from 1 species